rnacentral:rRNA from 1 species
AAAUUGAAGAGUUUGAUCAUGGCUCAGAUUGAACGCUGGCGGCAGGCUUAACACAUGCAAGUCGAACGGUAGCAGGAAGAAGCUUGCUUCUUUGCUGACGAGUGGCGGACGGGUGAGUAAUGCUUGGGGAUCUGGCUUAUGGAGGGGGAUAACGACGGGAAACUGUCGCUAAUACCGCGUAAUGUCUAAGGACUAGAGGGUGGGACUUUCGGGCCACCUGCCAUAAGAUGAGCCCAAGUGGGAUUAGGUAGUUGGUGGGGUAAAGGCCUACCAAGCCGACGAUCUCUAGCUGGUCUGAGAGGAUGACCAGCCACACUGGAACUGAGACACGGUCCAGACUCCUACGGGAGGCAGCAGUGGGGAAUAUUGCACAAUGGGGGGAACCCUGAUGCAGCCAUGCCGCGUGAAUGAAGAAGGCCUUCGGGUUGUAAAGUUCUUUCGGUGAUGAGGAAGGGUGAUGUUUUAAUAGAGCAYUACAUUGACGUUAGUCACAGAAGAAGCACCGGCUAACUCCGUGCCAGCAGCCGCGGUAAUACGGAGGGUGCGAGCGUUAAUCGGAAUGACUGGGCGUAAAGGGCACGCAGGCGGUGACUUAAGUGAGAUGUGAAAGCCCCGAGCUUAACUUGGGAAUUGCAUUUCAUACUGGGUUGCUAGAGUAUUUUAGGGAGGGGUAGAAUUCCACGUGUAGCGGUGAAAUGCGUAGAGAUGUGGAGGAAUACCGAAGGCGAAGGCAGCCCCUUGGGAAAAUACUGACGCUCAUGUGCGAAAGCGUGGGGAGCAAACAGGAUUAGAUACCCUGGUAGUCCACGCUGUAAACGCUGUCGAUUUGGGGAUUGGGCUUAGAGCUUGGUGCCCGUAGCUAACGUGAUAAAUCGACCGCCUGGGGAGUACGGCCGCAAGGUUAAAACUCAAAUGAAUUGACGGGGGCCCGCACAAGCGGUGGAGCAUGUGGUUUAAUUCGAUGCAACGCGAAGAACCUUACCUACUCUUGACAUCCUAAGAAGAACUCAGAGAUGAGUUUGUGCCUUCGGGAACUUAGAGACAGGUGCUGCAUGGCUGUCGUCAGCUCGUGUUGUGAAAUGUUGGGUUAAGUCCCGCAACGAGCGCAACCCUUAUCCUUUGUUGCCAGCGAUUCGGUCGGGAACUCAAAGGAGACUGCCAGUGAUAAACUGGAGGAAGGUGGGGAUGACGUCAAGU